AUUGAACGCUGGCGGCAUGCCUUACACAUGCAAGUCGAACGGCAGCAUAGGAGCUUGCUCCUGAUGGCGAGUGGCGAACGGGUGAGUAAUAUAUCGGAACGUGCCCUAGAGUGGGGGAUAACUAGUCGAAAGAUUAGCUAAUACCGCAUACGAUCUACGGAUGAAAGUGGGGGAUCGCAAGACCUCAUGCUCCUGGAGCGGCCGAUAUCUGAUUAGCUAGUUGGUGGGGUAAAAGCCUACCAAGGCGACGAUCAGUAGCUGGUCUGAGAGGACGACCAGCCACACUGGGACUGAGACACGGCCCAGACUCCUACGGGAGGCAGCAGUGGGGAAUUUUGGACAAUGGGGGCAACCCUGAUCCAGCAAUGCCGCGUGGGUGAAGAAGGCCUUCGGGUUGUAAAGCUCUUUUGUCAGGGAAGAAACAGUUCUGGAUAAUACCCAGAGCUAAUGACGGUACCUGAAGAAUAAGCACCGGCUAACUACGUGCCAGCAGCCGCGGUAA
rnacentral:rRNA from 1 species